rnacentral:rRNA from 1 species
GAUGAACGCUGGCGGCGUGCCUAAUACAUGCAAGUCGAACGAACAGACGAGGAGCUUGCUCCUUUCACGUUAGCGGCGGACGGGUGAGUAACACGUGGAUCACCUACUUAUAAUUCUGGGAUCAUCUCGGGAAACCGGCGCUAAUACCGGAUAAUAUAUUGAACCGCAUGGUUCAAUGGUGAAUGACGGCUUUGCUGGCUGUUCUCGAUGGAUCCGCGCUGCAUUAGCUAGUUGGUAAGUUAACGGCUUACCAAGGCAACGAUGCGUAGCCGACCGGAGAGAGUGAUCGGCCACCUGAGAACGGAGACACGGUCAAGACGACUACGGGAGGCCGCAGAAGGGAACGGUAGGCAAUGGGCGAAAGCCUGACGCAGCAGGGCCGAGUGUGAGAUAACGGCCUCGGGAGCGGAAUGCCCGGUUAUUAGUGAAGAACAGCUUUCGAAGGAGCUGUGGACGUCUUGACGGUACCGAGUCAGGAAGCACCGGCUAACUACGUG